rnacentral:misc_RNA from 1 species
GAUGAAGAACGCAGCGAAAUGCGAUACGUAGUGUGAAUUGCAGAAUUCAGUGAAUCAUCGAGUCUUUGAACGCACAUUGCGCCCCCUGGUAUUCCGGGGGGCAUGCCUGUCCGAGCGUCAUUGCUGCCCUCAAGCCCGGCUUGUGUGUUGGGCCCCGUCCCCCUCUCCGGGGGACGGGCCCGAAAGGCAGCGGCGGCACCGAGUCCGGUCCUCGAGCGUAUGGGGCUUUGUCACCCGCUCUGUAGGCCCGGCCGGCGCCAGCCGACAACCCAUCAUCCUUUUCAGGUUGACCUCGGAUCAGGUAGGGAUACCCGCUGAACUUAAGCAUAUCAAUAAGCGGAGGA